rnacentral:rRNA from 1 species
GAUGAACGCUGGCGGCGUGCCUAAUACAUGCAAGUCGAGCGAACAGACGAGGAGCUUGCUCCUCUGACGUUAGCGGCGGACGGGUGAGUAACACGUGGAUAACCUACCUAUAAGACUGGGAUAACUUCGGGAAACCGGAGCUAAUACCGGAUAAUAUAUUGAACCGCAUGGUUCAAUAGUGAAAGACGGUUUUGCUGUCACUUAUAGAUGGAUCCGCGCCGCAUUAGCUAGUUGGUAAGGUAACGGCUUACCAAGGCGACGAUGCGUAGCCGACCUGAGAGGGUGGUCGGCCACACUGGAACUGAGACACGGUCCAGACUCCUACGGGAGGCAGCAGUAGGGAAUCUUCCGCAAUGGGCGAAAGCCUGACGGAGCAACGCCGCGUGAGUGAUGAAGGUCUUCGGAUCGUAAAACUCUGUUAUUAGGGAAGAACAAAUGUGUAAGUAACUAUGCACGCCUUGACGGUACCUAAUCAGAAAGCCACGGCUAACUACGUG